rnacentral:lncRNA from 1 species
AUAUGGCUUUUCUGUCUAGGAGUCUCAGCACCUGCUAGCACCGCUGCUUUGCCUCACUGCCCUCUGGGGAUGGGAGCUGGGCUUUUAUGGAGGCGGAGGGAGGAGAUGAAUGCUUCCCCUGCAGCUGCCUGGCUUCUGCUGUCUUGCCAGGGGGUGGGAUGCAGGGUCCUGUCGUGGUGCCUGGCCUGAUCUAACUGGCCUCUCCUGUUCAGGCACAUUGUGGUCUGCGGACACAUCACUCUGGAGAGUGUUUCCAACUUCCUGAAGGACUUUCUGCACAAGGACCGGGAUGACGUCAAUGUGGAGAUCGUUUUUCUUCACAACAUCUCCCCCAACCUGGAGCUUGAAGCUCUGUUCAAACGACAUUUUACUCAGGUGGAAUUUUAUCAGGGUUCCGUCCUCAAUCCACAUGAUCUUGCAAGAGUCAAGAUAGAGUCAGCAGAUGCAUGCCUGAUCCUUGCCAACAAGUACUGCGCUGACCCGGAUGCGGAGGAUGCCUCGAAUAUCAUGAGAGUAAUCUCCAUAAAGAACUACCAUCCGAAGAUAAGAAUCAUCACUCAAAUGCUGCAGUAUCACAACAAGGCCCAUCUGCUAAACAU